rnacentral:rRNA from 1 species
AUUGAACGCUGGCGGCAUGCCUUACACAUGCAAGUCGAACGGCAGCACGGGAGCAAUCCUGGUGGCGAGUGGCGAACGGGUGAGUAAUAUAUCGGAACGUGCCCAGUCGUGGGGAUAACGUAGCGAAAGCUACGCUAAUACCGCAUACGAUCUAUGGAUGAAAGCGGGGGAUCGCAAGACCUCGCGCGAUUGGAGCGGCCGAUAUCAGAUUAGGUAGUUGGUGAGGUAAAGGCUCACCAAGCCGACGAUCUGUAGCUGGUCUGAGAGGACGACCAGCCACACUGGGACUGAGACACGGCCCAGACUCCUACGGGAGGCAGCAGUGGGGAAUUUUGGACAAUGGGCGGCAAGCCUGAUCCAGCAAUGCCGCGUGCAGGAUGAAGGCCUCGGUUGUAACGUUA